GACGAACGCUGGCGGCGUGCCUAAUACAUGCAAGUUGAGCGCUGAAGGUUGGUACUUGUACCAACUGGAUGAGCAGCGAACGGGUGAGUAACGCGUGGGGAAUCUUCCUUUGAGCGGGGGACAACAUUUGGAAACGAAUGCUAAUACCGCAUAAAAACUUUAAACACAAGUUUUAAGUUUGAAAGAUGCAAUUGCAUCACUCAAAGAUGAUCCCGCGUUGUAUUAGCUAGUUGGUGAGGUAAAGGCUCACCAAGGCGAUGAUACAUAGCCGACCUGAGAGGGUGAUCGGCCACAUUGGGACUGAGACACGGCCCAAACUCCUACGGGAGGCAGCAGUAGGGAAUCUUCGGCAAUGGACGAAAGUCUGACCGAGCAACGCCGCGUGAGUGAAGAAGGUUUUCGGAUCGUAAAACUCUGUUGGUAGAGAAGAACGUUGGUGAGAGUGGAAAGCUCAUCAAGUGACGGUAACUACCCAGAAAGGGACGGCUAACUACGUG
rnacentral:rRNA from 1 species